rnacentral:lncRNA from 14 species
GGGAACCAAACAACUGUCCAAUCAUGUUCUCUCUUUCAGAUAUUCCUGGAUCAAGAAGCGAAGGGCCUGAAUUACCAACUACACAACCAAUGUGGUGGCCAGUGGUACAGCUGGCUACUGUCAAGUAACCCAUGUCGCAGAUGGAGGUGGCUCCAGUCAGUCUGUAAAGAACUUCAUUCCUCUGCUCCCUCUAAAUCUCCCUUGAGGAUUGAAAGGAAAAUGUCAUCAUCAGGAGGAACAGAAACAGCUCCAUGGUCACCUGUGUUAUGGAAAGCACCUGAGUGGUUCUUUGUACGUGUUGAUGGAAUAGCACCAACAUAUCAGUUUAUGAUCUGUAUAUAUUGUUGUCGUACAUCUUGGCAAUCUACUAUUCUCAUCGCAGACUCACGUGGAGUUGGAAGUUUGAAGAAUUACUUCAAGUAAGAUGUAAAAUAAGAAGAGCUGUAAAUGUACUAGGAAAUGCUCCAUUGACUCCAACUGCACACUCUUGACCGUGGUCAGAGAUGAUCUGGAAUGGAAUGACUCAGUGCAGAGCAAGAUUUAGGCAGGAUGUUUCUAAGAGACAGAGAAGAGGAAGCCUCAGUGAUUGAGGUCCAUUUGCUUACAGGAAUCCAGCCUAAUGUAAGAAGCCACAGUUCUUCUUGUAUGAAGAAGAGCUUCUUCUCAUUUUGAGAAUAACUGUAAUCUCAGCCUCUUUUCUGGAAUGGAAUUAUGUUAGUCACGUGAUAAUCUUCUCCAACCUGCCAAGAGAUAACAAAUUCUGACAAUUCUUGGAGGUCUCAGACCCCCUCAUAACACUCAUGAACCCCAGUCCACACCAGGGUAUUAAUUUCAGUGUUUUUUUUCUCCCUUUGGUGUUUUAAGACCUUGGAUGCUCUUGUCCUUUGCUGAGGUACAGUAUAAAGGAACAGAUGUUGAGUAGAACCUGAGAUGUCCGUCUUGACACCUCCUGCACCUAUGCUCUUCCCUCUAUCAGCCUGCAGGUCUGCUUAGGAGUCCUGAGGUGGUGAGAUAAUUUCCAUUCCAAGGCUUAUCAGAGUAGAUACUCAGACCAGGACCCAAAAGCAAUUGACUGCUCCUUUUCUUUUUACAAAGGACAACAAGACUUUUCCUUACCUUAUGCCUGGUUGUCUGCCUCUCUGCUUUUCAGUCUGCCUUCUUUUUCUUUAAGGCCGUAUAGGACUCUGAUUGUGAGGUUGAUUUUAACUUGCAGGAAGCCUCCAGUCAAUAUGCCAAUGACUGGAAUUACUGUCACUAGCCCCAAUUAAAAUGAAAAUGUCUAACUAUAGCAUUGGCCCAAAUUGUUGAAUAUAAAGGAUUCUGAGAAGCAACCAAAUACAAAGUCAUCAAAUUCAAGACUGACAGGUUUUGUCACUCAUAGCUGCUUCUGGAGGGCCAUAUGUAUGGAAAGACACCCUAGAUAUGUUCCCUGAGAGUCGUGGAAAGGCCAGGGGGAAAAAAGAGCCUCAGAUACAAAGUGUUUAUAUAACUACCAGGCGUCCACACAACACCCUGCACGUCUAGAUUCCUUUCUUGGUGUUCUUCCUCGCUAAGGUGAGGAAUUUCUCACAUAAAUCGUGAGGGAGGGCCACCUGGUGCAGGCCUCUCCUGGUCUCAACUAUGAUCCAAAAAAGAGAAAAAUCUGAGGUGACAGGACCUGGUGUCUGUGAUUAGAACUCAGCCUGGCAGCUUGGGACAGAAAUGCAAAGUCAUUGAGAUUUUCUCCUUCAGCCCCUUCUUAUAAUGGGCAGGUAGUUUUUUCUCCAAACUCUGGAUCCUGUUGUCUGAGAGAUGUGGCCAUUGAUUCUAUUGUUAGCUUGAGUAGAUCGAGGAAUAUUUCUGGAUGCAACUCUUACCCGAUUCUAAAAUUUCUCUGUAUGUGCCCAGACUCAUUGGACAAAGUCCUCUCCUAACUCUGGUGAGCACCAUAAGUAUCCUGUAAGCUAAGCAGCCAGAGAAAUGGAAAACAUUUGCUGUGUCUCUCCUAGCACAGACAGUCUUCUUUGUUCUUAGUUCAUAUCUCCAUAUUUUUGACCUCUGGACUCUGAGGUCUGGACUUGUGUUGUCCUAUGUACUCCUGAGUGUUUCCUUAAACCUAGACUCACCUAAGUGACUUACAGGGUCUUUGACUUCCAGACAUAGAUUGAGCCAAGCUCCAAGCAUUCCUUAGCGUCCACCUUGAAGAAUGCCUGCUGUGGGAAUGGUCAAUCAUAUGGAGCAUUUUCCCAGGAGCUGUGAGGCUAUGAGAGACCCCAUCAUAUAUUAAGAGGUUGGAGACAAGACAAAUAUAUACAGUCUUAUCUCAAGGUCAGACCACCAGAGUCUGUCAGCAGUCAUGGAAUGUUGUAUGGAUGUGGGAGACCAUUUGUGGCCUUAGAAACUCAAGGAAAGCUCAGAAUUUUCUUUACACUCAACUCACAGACACAUCCAGAAAUAUUGCUCUGUCUGCACAAGUGAACAACAAAAACGUUAAGUUGGCCAGACAAAAACAGACAGCACUCGUCACAUGAGGCUCUUAUCAUAGGAGAAUAGUGAAUUCAUGGAGAAGACUGAGGAUGUAGCUGAGAUUCAAUAUUCUCUGUGGGGCUCAGUGCUCCAGAGUGCAGGCACCUUUCUAGCACCUCUACCUUACCUUACUGGUGAGCUUCAGUCUCACUCCUUUGUGGCUGACCCAGAUGUAGGGAGAUAGCUUCUCUACAAGGCUUGUCCAAUUCAGAAACCUGUGGUGACUCACCUGCCCUUUAAAUGAUGACAGUUUUUGCAGCCUCCCUGGCAGAUGGUGGUGUUCCUGGGGCUUCUUCAUCACAUGCUUCCUUUUCUGAAGGCACUACUGGUGGGCUGAAAUUUCUUGUUGGUAGUGAAGACGGCUGAGCUUUCUUUGAUGAUAAAGGGGCUCCAGUGCCCACCUCUCUACCUUUCUGAACCCUAGAGUUUUGCAAAGGAAAGGAAGACCAUUUAGAAAAUGCCCUAAGAAGGAUUUCCAUUAUGUCCUCACAGAAGGCUGCCUUCUGGGCUAGUUCCUCUUCUUUAUUUUUCUGCAGGAAGGGAAAAGGAUUUAGGUCAAUACUGCUACUCUUGGAAGAAAGUCUUGUUAGCACAGACAUGACCCAAGUGUAGUUGUGCUCAGGUCUGACAUCUCAGCCUAUGGUCUGUAUCCCUGGUGUGGGGGAAAAACCUCUACUUCCUCCUUACUCAUAUCUGAAUAUCUGUCUUCAGUAAAGCUAGGUCUCAGUCUUCCUAGUACCACAUUCUGAUGCAUGUGUGUGUGUGUGUGUGUGUGUGUGUGUGUGUGUGUGUGUGUGUGUGUGUGUGUGUGAGUGUGUGGGCACAGUGGUACUCAAGUGCAUGUGGAGGUUUUUCAUGGAAUCACGCACUUCACUAAAGCAGCACAAGACAGUCCUAGGAACAGACAAAGUAGUUUACACUCAAUCUUGUCGCCUUGCUCCUCCUCACGGACCUUUUGCCACUUAACUUUUAUAUUCUUCCCUUGAUUCCUUAGAAUGUUCUUCUUCAGCUCCUCUGCCCUCUCAAAAACUUUGUUUAUAGUCUGCAAUACAAUACCAAAAUGGGGAAUUAGCACAGUUCUAAUGCCAGAAAAGAGGCAAAGAAAACAUGUAGGGAGAGGCAGCAUUAUCUCACGCAUGACUUGAACUCCAUUCCCUCCCAUUCCCUCCUCUGUACUGAUCUCCUGAGGCAGCAUUUCCUCCCCUUCCACACACUGUCAGCAUCUGUGGCUUUUCUUUGUGCAGCAUAUACUGCUCUGGAGAUAUUUGCUCAACCACAUAGAGAUGAAGACCCAUUUUGUUGAUCUUCACUCAUUUACCACUGAUAAUUCUGUUCCUUGGAUAGUUUUCCACAUAGAGUCUAAAGGAAUAGAGCAGAAUGACAAGGCUAUGCAGAGAAAUUCAAAUGUCUAAAUGAGGCCUUGAGGAAAUUUGGCCUCUGUAUGCACGGUUUUAGAUGCUCCUGGAGUUUAAAAAGGCACACCCUGUAAUCCCACAUCCAAUACCAUUUCUGUACCUGGAGAGAGACGUAUACCUAGUCUUCCACUAAACUGGCACAUUCAGCGAACAUAGCAUAGCUAGACUGACAUAGUACAUGUUUGACAUCUAAGUACUAAGAAGAGACCAGGUAGACCCACAGAGCCUUGAGGAAACAGGUUCUACUCCCUAACUUCAAACUAAAAAGCAAAGACAAUGGUCUCUGUCUUCCAUUCUCAAUCAUGAUUUGAACCCUUGCACACAGCACCUCUGGAUAUUGCUUAGCUGAUGUGCACCACCUCACCUCACAGAUCAUUAUGUAAUGAGAGGACACACUGAGGUACUUAAUGCUGGAGUCACUGGUGGUACUUAGUGCUGUGGGCAUCUAGUCAGAUGCUGCACCUAAGGAUGUUGCUAAACUGCUUCAACCCUCAUAUCUGUCCAAGAUUCAAAAAAGAUUCUCAUCCCAGUCAAAAACUCUACUUACGAAGAGCUUAUGACCAGAAACUCAGUAUGGAAAGCUGAUGUUUUGGAGGACAUAUGAGUCCCUAGGAAGAGAGAUUUGUUUUUGGAACAGGGAAGAAAUGAAGGGAGAUUACUAUGAUCUUAAGAGAAUACCUGCAACUUACUGAAAACCACCAGUGCACACCAAAGAGAACCCCAGUUCUAGGAGUUGAACAACAUGGAUAAUGCAAACUGUGCUACUACCUAAGCUCAUCUGUAAACCAGAGCUUUGUUCUCUGAGAGUAUUCUGCACACAGUCUGCUGGAGAUGACUGAAGGCAUGUCCAGAAAAUCCCUCCCCAGCUCCACAGUCCCUGAGUGCCUGAGUCAUGUGCAUCUCCAUAUGUUCUAUUUGACCAAACUCAGGGCCAUUCAAGCUUGGUGUGACAUUUUGUUUUAUUCUGUUAUGCAAAUACAAAGCACCCUUGUCACUGAGACUAUAUGUGUUAUUUCCUGAAGACAACACUGC